rnacentral:rRNA from 1 species
GACGAACGCUGGCGGCGUGCUUAACACAUGCAAGUCGAACGGAAAGGCCCUGCUUUUGUGGGGUGCUCGAGUGGCGAACGGGUGAGUAACACGUGAGUGACCUGCCCUUGACUUUGGGAUAACUUCAGGAAACUGGGGCUAAUACCGGAUAGGAGCUCCUGCUGAAUGGUGGGGGUUGGAAAGUUUCGGCGGUUGGGGAUGGACUCGCGGCUUAUCAGCUUGUUGGUGGGGUAGUGGCUUACCAAGGCUUUGACGGGUAGCCGGCCUGAGAGGGUGACCGGCCACAUUGGGACUGAGAUACGGCCCAGACUCCUACGGGAGGCAGCAGUGGGGAAUAUUGCACAAUGGGCGGAAGCCUGAUGCAGCAACGCCGCGUGCGGGAUGACGGCCUUCGGGUUGUAAACCGCUUUCGCCUGUGACGAAGCGUGAGUGACGGUAAUGGGUAAAGAAGCACCGGCUAACUACGUG